UGUAAUUAUUAAUUUAAAUUCUUCUUUAAUUAAAAUCUAAAGUUAAAAUUAAGCUUUCAACAAUCUAGCACGAUAUCAUAAUCCUUCUUGUUUUAAGAUGUCUCAUCCUUAUCCAUCUAUCUCUCGUAUUAUGGAUGGUAUUUGUUCAGCACAUGGCGAUAAAAAAGCAAUAAUUUAUAAGUAAUAUGUUACAAUGAAAUGGCAUAAAAUAUCAAACUUACCGAAUGAGAUCGCAAAUCGACGAUUCUGAAGAGAUCAGUGUCGCAGCCACCGCAAGCGACAUACAAAUUUGUCACGUACUUUCCGGUGUAUAACAAACAAGGAUAACUGUCUGGUUCCAAGUUAACAAUCAGUUUGCCACUGCCGUAGUCCCAUAGUUGCAAAGGAUUAUUCUUUCGCCAGGAACAAGUAAGGAUCUGUUACAAAGGGAGAGUCGUUUAAUUCUACAGAUGUUAUAAAAAAAUUUAUGCUACAUAAAUAUUCACAUAUGAUAUAAUAAAGCUGCUGUAAUUGAGUAUACAUCAGAGAAAGAAACAUGUAAUAAAUCAACGAGUCGCUGAAUAUACCUCUCUUCCAUUUGUACUAAUGUCCAGACCAUCUCCACACAUAUGUACACCAGAUAUAAAUCGAAGGGAAUGAGCUUGUCUGGUGUCCCAGAACUGAACGGUGUCGUCCCAACCGGCGCUUAUUAUCUCGUGCACGGAUUUAGGAUGGAAGCAGGCACUGAAGACUCUGGAUUUAUGGCCAUCCAUGAUAUCCGGUGAAUCACUACAUACGAAACGUAUUACGUACAAUUGAUUGAUAAUACUGAUAUUGCCGACCAAUUGAUAGUGAUGCUCCAGAUCAGAAUGUGUACCGGGGACAGCGGCGGAAGUUUCUAUUAAAGCUGAUGUAGGAGAAUAUCCUUCGGUGACGGUGGAUGUCACCGAAGGUGAUGGUGUCACAUCGAAAUCAACAUUGUCUUGGUCAGAUGAAUCGAUGGUUGCGAGAGAAAGUUGCUCCUUAAUACUGUCCUUAUCCAUCUAAAAAAUCACGGAAAUAAAGUCACAAAUGAUUUUUUAUUGAGACGUUAUAUAACUAAAAUAAAAAGAAAAAAUGAAAUAAAAAAUGCACAGAUAGAGAAACUAUAAUUUUCCUCAUUAGAAAUUAUUUUAUUCAAAAUAAAGUUUAAACGAAUUUAUA